rnacentral:sRNA from 1 species
CUCCCCUCAACAGGGCUUCAGUGGACUCAACAGUGGUCUUAGUUCUUUGCCAUCCUUUGGCUUCCCUUGGACUCUCACACCUAAGCCAACCUGCCGCCCUCUUUUUUCUUAGUGUCCACUUCCCCUAUUCUGAUACUUGGGGCAGGGAGCUUAGUGAGGUAGAGGCCUAGUGCUCCCUCACUGCAGCCUGCUGCUAUCUGGGGUUUACUUCCAGGGCCCUGUGGUAGGAGGCUGGUACAAGGUUUUGGAUCGGUUCAUACCUGGCACCACCAAAGUGGAUGCACUGAAGAAGAUGUUGUUGGAUCAGGGGGGCUUUGCCCCAUGUUUUCUAGGCUGCUUUCUCCCACUGGUAGGGGCACUUAAUGGACUGUCAGCCCAGGACAACUGGGCCAAACUACAGCGGGAUUAUCCUGAUGCCCUUAUCACCAACUACUAUGUAAGAGCUGACACCUCAACUGCUUGUUCUCCUGCUUCCUUAAGUCUAGAACUGUCCUGGGAUUGG